rnacentral:rRNA from 1 species
AGGCCUAACACAUGCAAGUCGAGCGGUAACAGAAAGAAAGCUUGCUUUCUUUGCUGACGAGCGGCGGACGGGUGAGUAAUGCCUGGGAAUAUGCCUUAGUGUGGGGGAUAACUAUUGGAAACGAUAGCUAAUACCGCAUAACGUCCUUGUUCAUUACGAGCGGGACCAAAGAGGGGGACCUUCGGGCCUCUCGCGCUAAGAUUAGCCCAGGUGGGAUUAGCUAGUUGGUGAGGUAAAGGCUCACCAAGGCAACGAUCCCUAGCUGGUCUGAGAGGAUGAUCAGCCACACUGGAACUGAGACACGGUCCAGACUCCUACGGGAGGCAGCAGUGGGGAAUAUUGCACAAUGGGGGAAACCCUGAUGCAGCCAUGCCGCGUGUAUGAAGAAGGCCUUCGGGUUGUAAAGUACUUUCAGUCGUGAGGAAGGCAUCGUAGUUAAUAGCUGCAGUGCUUGACGUUAGCGACAGAAGAAGCACCGGCUAACUCCGUG